rnacentral:rRNA from 1 species
UACGGAGGGUGCAAGCGUUGUCCGGAUUUAUUGGGUUUAAAGGGUGCGUAGGCGGCCUGUUAAGUCAGCGGUGAAAGACCACGGCUCAACCGUGGCAGUGCCGUUGAUACUGGCAGGCUUGAGUGCUGCAGGGGUACAUGGAAUUGAUGGUGUAGCGGUGAAAUGCAUAGAUACCAUCAGGAACACCGAUAGCGAAGGCAUUGUACUGGGCAGCAACUGACGCUGAUGCACGAAAGCAUGGGUAGCGAACAGG